rnacentral:tRNA from 1 species
UCCCUGGUGUUCUCAUGGUUAGGACUUGGCACUUUCACUGCUGUGGUCUGGGUUCAAUCCCCGGUCUGGGAA